ACCUGACUGGCUUAGUUGGUAAAGCACAUGACUCUUGAUCUUGGGAUCAUGAGUUUAAGCCCUACAUUAGGUG
rnacentral:tRNA from 1 species